UACGAAGGGUGCAAGCGUUACUCAGAAUUACUGGGCGUAAAGCGUGCGUAGGUGGUUCGUUAAGUCUGUCGUGAAAGCCCCGGGCUCAACCUGGGAAUGGCGAUGGAUACUGGCGGGCUAGAGUGCGGUAGAGGAGAGUGGAAUUCCCGGUGUAGCAGUGAAAUGCGUAGAGAUCGGGAGGAACAUCAGUUGCGAAGGCGGCUCUCUGGACCAGCACUGACACUGAGGCACGAAAGCGUGGGGAGCAAACAGG
rnacentral:rRNA from 1 species